GGGCCUGUAGCUCAGUUGGUUAGAGCAUCUCGUUUACACCGAGAGGGUCGGGGGUUCGAGUCCCUCCGGGCCCACCC
rnacentral:tRNA from 1 species